rnacentral:rRNA from 1 species
CCUACGGGAGGCAGCAGUGAGGAAUAUUGGUCAAUGGACGAGAGUCUGAACCAGCCAAGUCGCGUGAAGGAUGACUGCCCUAUGGGUUGUAAACUUCUUUUAUAUGGGAAUAAAAUGUUCCACGUGUGGGAUGUUGUAUGUACCAUAUGAAUAAGGAUCGGCUAACUCCGUGCCAGCAGCCGCGGUAAUACGGAGGAUCCGAGCGUUAUCCGGAUUUAUUGGGUUUAAAGGGGGCGUAGGGGGAUUUUUAAGUCAGUUGUUAAACUUUGCGGCUCAACCCUAAAAUUGCAGUUGAAACUGGAAGUCUUGAGUACAGUAGAGGUGGGCGGAAUUAGUGGUGUAGCGGUGAAAUGCUUAGAUAUAACGAAGAACUCCGAUUGCGAAGGCAGCUCACUGGACUGCAACUGACGCUGAGGCUCGAAAGUGUGGGUAGCGAACAGGAUUAGAUACCCGUGUAGUC